rnacentral:rRNA from 1 species
CACGUAGGGGGCGAGCGUUGUCCGGAAUUAUUGGGCGUAAAGAGCUCGUAGGCGGUGUGUCGUGUCGGCCGUGAAAACCUGCAGCUUAACUGUGGGCUUGCGGUCGAUACGGGCAUCACUGGAGUUCGGCAGGGGAGACUGGAAUUCCUGGUGUAGCGGUGAAAUGCGCAGAUAUCAGGAGGAACACCGGUGGCGAAGGCGGGUCUCUGGGCCGAUACUGACGCUGAGGAGCGAAAGCGUGGGGAGCGAACAGG